rnacentral:rRNA from 1 species
GACGAACGCUGGCGGCGUGCUUAACACAUGCAAGUCGAACGGAAAGGCCCUGCUUUUGUGGGGUGCUCGAGUGGCGAACGGGUGAGUAACACGUGAGUAACCUGCCCUUGACUUUGGGAUAACUUCAGGAAACUGGGGCUAAUACCGGAUAGGAGCUCCUGCUGCAUGGUGGGGGUUGGAAAGUUUCGGCGGUUGGGGAUGGACUCGCGGCUUAUCAGCUUGUUGGUGGGGUAGUGGCUUACCAAGGCUUUGACGGGUAGCCGGCCUGAGAGGGUGACCGGCCACAUUGGGACUGGGAUACGGCCCAGACUCCUACGGGAGGCAGCAGUGGGGAAUAGUGCACAAUGGGCGGAAGCCGGAUGCAGCAACGCCGCGUGCGGGAUGACGGCCUUCGGGUUGUAAACCGCUUUCGCCUGUGACGAAGCGUGAGUGACGGUAAUGGGUAAAGAAGCACCGGCUAACUACGUG